CCUACGGGUGGCUGCAGUGGGGAAUAUUGGACAAUGGGGGGAACCCUGAUCCAGCCAUGCCGCGUGUGUGAAGAAGGCCCUCGGGUUGUAAAGCACUUUCAGUGAGGAAGAACGCCUGGUGGUUAAUACCCAUCAGUAAAGACAUCACUCACAGAAGAAGCACCGGCUAACUCCGUGCCAGCAGCCGCGGUAAUACGGAGGGUGCGAGCGUUAAUCGGAAUUACUGGGCGUAAAGCGCGCGUAGGUGGCUUGAUAAGCCGGUUGUGAAAGCCCCGGGCUCAACCUGGGAACGGCAUCCGGAACUGUCAAGCUAGAGUGCAGGAGAGGAAGGUAGAAUUCCCGGUGUAGCGGUGAAAUGCGUAGAGAUCGGGAGGAAUACCAGUGGCGAAGGCGGCCUUCUGGACUGACACUGACACUGAGGUGCGAAAGCGUGGGUAGCAAACAGGAGUAGAUACCCCUGUAGUC
rnacentral:rRNA from 1 species